rnacentral:rRNA from 3 species
UUUAAUGAGAGUUUGAUCCUGGCUCAGGACGAACGCUGGCGGCGUGCCUAAUACAUGCAAGUAGAACGCUGAAGAGAGGAGCUUGCUCUUCUUGGAUGAGUUGCGAACGGGUGAGUAACGCGUAGGUAACCUGCCUUGUAGCGGGGGAUAACUAUUGGAAACGAUAGCUAAUACCGCAUAACAAUGGAUGACACAUGUCAUUUAUUUGAAAGGGGCAAUUGCUCCACUACAAGAUGGACCUGCGUUGUAUUAGCUAGUAGGUGAGGUAACGGCUCACCUAGGCGACGAUACAUAGCCGACCUGAGAGGGUGAUCGGCCACACUGGGACUGAGACACGGCCCAGACUCCUACGGGAGGCAGCAGUAGGGAAUCUUCGGC